rnacentral:rRNA from 1 species
AGUGAACGCUGGCGGAGUGCCUAAUACAUGCAAGUCGAACGGUGUCUUCGGACAUAGUGGCGCACGGGUGCGUAACACGUAUGCAACCUACCUUACAUUGGGGGAUAGCCUUUCGAAAGGGAGAUUAAUACCGCAUAAGACAGUAGCUGGGCAUCCAGCAGCUGUUAAAGAUUUAUCGAUGUAAGCUGGGCAUGCGUCCAAUUAGCUAGUUGGUGAGGUAACGGCUCACCAAGGCAAUGAUUGGUAGGGGAACUGAGAGGUCAAUCCCCCACACUGGCACUGAGAUACGGGCCAGACUCCUACGGGAGGCAGCAGUAGGGAAUAUUGGGCAAUGGACGCAAGUCUGACCCAGCCAUGCCGCGUGCAGGAUGAAGGCGUUAUGCGUUGUAAACUGCUUUUAUACAGGAAGAAACGACUCUUGCGAGAGGCAUUGACGGUACUGUAUGAAUAAGCACCGGCUAACUCCGUGCCAGCAGCCGCCGUAAAAC